rfam:Sphingorhabdus sp. M41, complete genome.
CUUGGUGGCCAUAGCGCCUGUGCCCCACCCGAUCCCAUCUCGAACUCGGCCGUGAAACCAGGUUGCGCCGAUGGUACUUUGUCUCAAGGCAUGGAAGAGUAGGACGUCGCCAGGC